UUCUUCUUUUAUCUGAAACGAGUAGAAUAUAUACAUGCAUCUAAUUGGCACAGUACUGAAAGGAAUCCAUGAGAAGGAUGACAAUAAGAAUGCAUGAGAACCCUUUGCAGAGGACACUUUUUCUCUCUCUGAAGAAUAUGCACAUACAUCUUAUGGAUACAGUACCGAACCACAGGCAGCUUUUCGGCUGGGGGAGAGUAGCAUCCGCAUACAUCCGGUUGAUACAACACGGAGAGGAAGCCAUGGGAGGCAAGACAGACAGAAUGCAAGAACCCUCCCUGUGGAAAAGGCACUUUUCUGUACAAAUACAUCUCCACUUCUCACCGGAUACAGCACCGAGAGAGAGAGAGAGAGGAAUCCAUAGGAAGCAUCCAUUGGGAGAUGGAGCUGGGCGUUGCUCUGCUUUCUAGGGAGCUCCUCCUCCACACAUGACCUGCUCACUGCUCAGCAUCUUCC
rnacentral:lncRNA from 1 species